ACCUCGGUGCCGCCAGUGGCGGAGAAUUGGGAAGCCGGUGCAAAUCCGGCGCUGCCCCCGCAACGGUAAGGGUGGGUGUUUUUCGGCGAUAGGCCACUGGCCCCGACAGGGGGCUGGGAAGGUGCCGAAACACAGGGUCGGAACAUCUGGCCCAUCCCCCCAAGCCCGGAAACCAGCCAAGGUG
rnacentral:ncRNA from 1 species